rnacentral:rRNA from 1 species
AUUGAACGCUGGCGGCAUGCCUUACACAUGCAAGUCGAACGGCAGCACGGGUGCUUGCACCUGGUGGCGAGUGGCGAACGGGUGAGUAAUACAUCGGAACAUGUCCUGUAGUGGGGGAUAGCCCGGCGAAAGCCGGAUUAAUACCGCAUACGAUCUACGGAUGAAAGCGGGGGACCUUCGGGCCUCGCGCUAUCGGGUUGGCCGAUGGCUGAUUAGCUAGUUGGUGGGGUAAAGGCCUACCAAGGCGACGAUCAGUAGCUGGUCUGAGAGGGCGACCAGCCACACUGGGACUGAGACACGGCCCAGACUCCUACGGGAGGCAGCAGUGGGGAAUUUUGGACAAUGGGCGAAAGCCUGAUCCAGCAAUGCCGCGUGUGUGAAGAAGGCCUUCGGGUUGUAAAGCACUUUUGUCCGGAAAGAAAUACUUGGCCCUAAUACGGUCGGGGGAUGACGGUACCGGAAGAAUAAGCACCGGCUAACUACGUG